rnacentral:misc_RNA from 1 species
GAAAUGCGAUAAGUAAUGUGAAUUACAGAAUUCCGUGAAUCAUCGAAUCUUUGAACGCACAUUGCGCCCUCUGGUAUUCCGGGGGGCAUGCCUGUCCGAGCGUCAUUGCGAACCCCUCAAGCACGGCUUGUGUGAUGGGCCCUCCCGCGUCUUGGUCGUCAAGACGGGCCCGAAAUGCAGUGGCGGCUUCGCGGUUAUCCGAUCAGCCAGAGCGUAUGGGGACUUUCUCUCUGUCACACGCCCGCGGCGCGGACCGACGCCUGUCGACCUUUAUUCAUCUUUUUCUCGGUUGACCUCGGAUCAGGUAGGGAUACCCGCUGAACUUAAGC